rnacentral:rRNA from 1 species
GAUCAUGGCUCAGGAUGAACGCUAGCUACAGGCUUAACACAUGCAAGUCGAGGGGCAGCGGGAUUGAAGCUUGCUUCAAUUGCCGGCGACCGGCGCACGGGUGAGUAACGCGUAUCCAACCUUCCGUACACUCAGGGAUAGCCUUUCGAAAGAAGAUUAAUACCUGAUGGUAUGAUGAGAUUGCAUGAUAGCAUCAUUAAAGAUUUANCGGUGUACGAUGGGG